rnacentral:sRNA from 1 species
AUGCAUGGAGCCAACAGCUCCAGCCUGACACCAAGAUAUUUCAUUCUCAAUGGCGUUCCUGGGCUGGAAGCUGCACACAUCUGGAUCUCCCUGCCUUUCUGCUUCAUGUACAUCAUUGUUGUUUUGGGGAACUGUGGACUUAUAUACCUCAUUAGCCAUGAGGAGGCCCUGCACCAACCCACCUACUACUUCCUAGACUUGCUGUCUCUUGCAGAUGUUACUGGAUGCACCUCAUUUGUUCCCAAUAUGUUAUGUAUUUUUUGGUUUGGCCUUAAGGAAAUCGACUUUAAUGCCUGCCUUGUGCAGAUGUUUUUCAUCCACAUGCUGACAGGCAUGGAGUCUGGGGUGCUCAUGCUUAUGGCUCUAGACCUCUAUGUGGCCAUUUGCUACCCUCUACACUAUUCCACCAUCUUCACCAACACUGUAAUUACCAAAGUUGGGCUUGUCACCUUCAUUCAAAGUGUGUUGCUUAUGAUUCCAUUUGCUUUCCUGAUCAAGUGUCUUCCCUAUUGCAGGGCAACCUCAUCCACCACACCUAUUUUAACAUAUGUCUGUGGCCAAAUUAUCCUGUGGUAAUGUCCAGAUUAAUGCCAUCUAUGGUCUCAUAGCUGCCAUAUUGAUUGGGGGGUUUGACAUGUUCUGUAUCUCCAUGUCUUACACCAUGAUUAUCCGUGCUGUAGUGAAUUUGUCAUCUGCAGAUGCUGCCACAAAGCCUUCAGUACCUGUACAUCACAUAUAUGUGCUAUUUUCAUCACUUAUGUCCCAGCCUUUUUCAACUUCUUCACUCGCCGCUUUGGGGGACACACCAUACCUCAUCAUGUUCACAUUUUUAUAGCCAACCUUUACCUGAUGCUGCCUCCCACCUUAAAUCCAAUUGUCUAUGGAGUGAAGACCAAGCAGAUCCGUGAAGGAGUGAUCAAAUUGUUUUUUAGA